rnacentral:rRNA from 1 species
CCUACGGGAGGCAGCAGUGGGGAAUUUUCCGCAAUGGGUGAAAGCCUGAGGAGCAAUACCGCGUGAGGGAAGACGGCCUAUGGGUUGUAAACCUCUUUUUUCAGGGAGGAAUUUUGACGUGUACCUGAAGAAUAAGCAUCGGCUAACUCCGUGCCAGCAGCCGCGGUAAU